rnacentral:tRNA from 1 species
UACAUUCUGGUGUAUGAAGCACAUAAAUUUUUGAUGUUUAAAGGAUUAGUUUAAUUCUAUUGGAUGUAU